rnacentral:misc_RNA from 1 species
ACACACACACACACACACUUUUUCACACUUCUCUAUUUCUCAUUCCGUUUCCUCAUGGUCUCGUUACGCUUAUAUUCCCGAUGUAAACGGAAUAUUUUAGUUACGCAGAAGAAUAACAGCACGAAGAGCCGCACGACCUAACUACACUACACGUCCGCUGGAAAUAUCGUUCUGAGAGAGAGAAGCAAGCCGAACCACAUCGGAAACUAUAACCAAAAAUAAAACAUACAAACAUAUAUAUAUUUAUAUAAAUAAAACAGAAAAACAAAAGCAAAAAAAAAAAACAGAAAUAUAUAACUGAAAAAGAAAACAAAAUUAAUAUAUAUUUUUUUUACAAAAUAGACAUAAGAAGAAAAAAUCCAAACCAGGCAACACUACAGGCGCACAUGUUCUUUGAAUCUUGCGGAAUAUACACAACUAUUCGCAAGAUAAACACGUAACAUAUAUUGAUAUAUAUAUACACAUAUAUAUAUUUAUAUAUAUCACAGCCGAUGAGAAAAGUGUUUAUACAGUCGCGGAAAGAUUGUCAUACAGAAUGAGUGAGGAAGUGUCGAAAAUCGUUGAUUCCGACGGCAAUCAUAUGGUGGUGAAAUACGCCAAUGGAUAUCCAUUCCCGUCGUUUGAGAAAUUAAAAGACAAUCUUGACGAGUUCAAAAACUGGACACCGAAACCUCAGGAUGUCUUCCUUUUUGCCUAUCCGUCAUCUGGAACGCAUUGGUUGUGGGAAGUAACCUGUAUGCUGAUUGAGGGCAAAGCAGAACGAUUGCAACUAGAAAAAGAACAUUACAUGAUUGAAAACAGCAGCUCGAAAACAUUGGACAACUUGAAAGAGCCGCGUGUAUUAAAUGCACACGUUUAUAUCGAGCAAGUUCCUGAAUGCCUUCUUGAAAAUAAUAAAAUAAUCUUGAUUUCCCGCAACCCCAAAGAUACUGCUGUCUCCUGGUAUAACCACAAUGUUGCUGACCUGGAAACGGAUUACACUGGAAAGUUUCCUGCCUUUUACGAAUUGUUUAGAGUUGGAAACGUUCCUAAUGGCGACUGGUUCAACUACAAUAAAACCUGGUGGGAAUGGUCUAAAGGAAGAUCAAAUGUUCUCUGGGUGACAUAUGAAGACGCGAAAUCGGACUUGAAAUCAGUGACUAAGCAAAUAGCAAAGUUCCUUGAAAUUCCAGCUUCCGAUGAAUUGUGCCAGGCCAUUGCUCAAGAAUGUACCUUUAAAAAGAUGAAAGCGGAGAAGCACAACUUGCUACCUUUCGAGUUACGUGGUGACAUGUCGUUUUAUAGAAAAGGUCAAGUCGGAGAUUGGAAAAACUGGUUCACUGUAGCUCAGAACGAAGAUUUUGACCAGAUAUGGGACGAAAAAAUGAAAGACUGUGAUCUCCCAGUCCAAUUCACAAUUUAAAAGAUGAAAUUUAAAGAUAUUGUAGAACGACUGACAUAUAUUUUAAUUACCAUUACUCUAAUUGUGGAGGUAUUGUUUGAACUAUAGCAUUUGGAUAUGGUAUAUAUAUAUAUUAAUUAUUUAACAUGAUAAGAAUUAUCUAAAAAUGCGAUUACAAAAGUAAGGAUUAUAAUUUUGAGACAGUUGCAAUAGUAAUAAGGAUAAUGAUAAUAAAGAUUUGUAAUAAUAGCAGCAGCAGAAGCAACAACAACAACUACUACUACUACUACUACAACAAGAAUAAUAAGCUUUUAUGGGCCACAAGGAAAUUAUUUAAUAUUAAACUUGUUAUACAAUAUUAAACUUUAUAAUACAAACGCAGUUACAAAAUGUGAAGGGAUAUACAUGCAAACAAACGAACAAACACAUAGAUAGAUAGUUGCAUGCACACAUACAUACAUACAUACAUACAUACAUACAUACAUACAUACAUACCCACAUACAUACAUACAUACAUACAUACAUACAUACAUACAUACAUACAUACAUACAUACAGGGUAGGGUGAAAGUAAUACAAUAUAUUAAGAGAUGUCAAGAUUUCUUUUAGCAAAAUUGUACAAAUAAAUACAAAUGAGAGCAAAGCGUACACACACAGAGACACACGAGGAAAAAGUUUCCACCUAGUUAGAAUUAGAUUGCAUGACUCCAGACACUUUCUGGAAACUGGGUUCUCCAAAAUUAUCCCCGAGCAUUUUCGGUCUAAACCAAAACGUGAAGAGACCCACAGCUUGGCCUUUAGGAGCUGCACUACUAGUCUUGUUAUCAACAUUGUGGUUUUCGGGAUUCAAUGUGACCUGCAUGUUUAUGAAGGCCAUACUGACGCACAUGUUGACUCGUAUUACUUUCGUGCUUGCCCUGUACUGUAGCGCAAAGAUGACAAAAUGCCAUAUGUCAACGUCUCUACAAAUGUAAUUGACUGUGAUUCUUGUAUAACUUCUUCCCAUUUAUUGCUGUGCGACCCUUUGGACAUGUGUGAAGCGAGCCAUCUUCUUUUGUUUCUGCCUUCAUUCUCAGUAUUAUGGAACUAGCAUACACUUCCAUACGCUAUAGUCUGGCCGAUGGAGUACAUCUUGCUACACAUCAUUCCGGUUCUCUUUUCACUGUUUCUUUGAAGGUAUAUGGAAGCCCAUCCAUUUUUCGAAAAAUGGGAGUGUGCUACUUUCUUCUUCGGGCAAGGAAGCACUAGCAUUUGUAACACACCUCGCCCAAAUUGGCAUUUUUCUGGAGCUGAUCUGUGACACACGUUUCUCAAACAGGCAAAACAUGUGAUGCUGUUGUUAUUGUCGUUGUAAAUGUUUAUGCUUCCGUCACUUAUGUUUGUAAAUGUAGGAAUGUCUGUGUUUAAAAACAUAGAUACCUGAGCAAUUGCCAUAUUUUAAAAUCCGAUUUCUUCUUACAAAAUUGUCAACAUAUUUUUCAAAAUUUCGCUGAGGUUUAUUUGCCACUAUAUCAAUCGUUGUUACCGUAUCCUUCUCUUCCCCCCAGGGCUGGGCACAUUGCGCCAUAUUUUGUUCUCUCCAAGAUAAUGUAGUUGAUGCUCAAACAUCUUAAAGCCUUUCUCCUGGGAAAAAAAUAGGAAAAGAAAUAAUUAAAUAUACUUACUUUUUCAUCUGAAGCCUGUAAUAUAUGUCC